rnacentral:rRNA from 1 species
CGUCGAGUGGCGAACGGGUGAGUAACACGUGGGUGAUCUGCCCUGCACUUCGGGAUAAGCUUGGGAAACUGGGUCUAAUACCGGAUAGGAGCCAUCUUUAGUGUGGUGGUUGGAAGUUUUUCGGUGUAGGAUGAGCUCGCGGCCUAUCAGCUUGUUGGUGGGGUAAUGGCCUACCAAGGCGGCGACGGGUAGCCGGACUGAGAGGUUGGUCGGCCACAUUGGGACUGAGAUACGGCCCAG